AUGGAGCCCGCGGAGAUGGACCGCAUCGCCGCCCGGCUCUCCGCCGUGGAUGGCCUCUACUUCCCCACGGCCUUCCUCCGCGCCUCGCCGCCGCCGCCGGCGCGCAAGUCGGCCCUCCUCGACCUCCUCUCCCGCGACGCCCCGCUCUUCCUCGAGCGGUACGGCGCCGCGCUGCGCCCGGACGAGCUGGCCCCCUUCGACGCGCUCCGGGACGACUACGAGGUGGGGUGGCACCUCCGCCGCGUCCGCGCCGCGGCCGCCGGGGAGACCCCCGCCCCCGCGCGCGUGCGCAACCGGCGCCGCGCCUACCUCCACCGCCUGGUGACCCAGGGGGACUACUUCUCCGAGGAGGCGAUGCGGGAGCGGGAGCCGUACCUGCACCACGAGUACCUCGGCAGGUUCCAGGACCCCUUCGGGCGGGCCAUGGUGCGGCCCGGGGAGAAGUUCUCCGAGACGCUGAUGCGGCGGGCAGAGGAGGCCGUCAUCGUGGAGAAGAUCCGCGGGGAGCAGAUCAGGAGGGGUGUUGACCCCAGCGAGUGGGUCGGCGGUCCCGUUGAGCGACCGGUGAUGGGGCAGGAGGAGGAGGAGGAGGAGGAGGAGGAGGAGGAGGAAGAGGAAGAGGAAGAAGAGGAUGAAGAGAACAUCGGCAUGGAGGAGAACACCGAGAAUCUUAGUUCGACUGAGGUGGUUGCACACGACGAUAACGGUGGUUGCCCCAACGAGACUGCAGCCCCCCCUGCAGGGACUUUCAAGCCAAUAUUAUCCCCUGAGGAGAUGGAGGAUCAGCUGGAGCAGUUCACCUCGGUGAUGCAGGAGAAGUUCCUGUCAGGCCAGGACUCGGAGCACAUGGAUUACCCCCAGAUCGACAACGACGAGAUGCUGGACGACCACUGGUCCAGGGAGGCCAACUACGACGCAGAGGACAAGUACUUCAACGAAGAUUAG
rnacentral:rRNA from 1 species